rnacentral:snoRNA from 1 species
UGCAAAUGAUGGUUUUUCUCACGAUGGUCUUCCAAGUCUCUCAGGCUCUGACGACACUGCCUUACGGCAUCACUGAUGCAGCAUA